rnacentral:ribozyme from 15 species
UUUUUUUUUUUUUUUUUUUUUUUUUUUUGGCAAAAAACCAGUGAUUAUUAAGUAUGAAGAU